UCUCUAGGUUUGGAUUUGUUUUUUAACGGGAAUCAUACAAUCAUGUGCCAAGUGGUGCUGAAGAGCCCUAAUUUAAUUGUAUUGGCAUGAAAUGAUUGAAUUCAUUGGUGAUGGAAGAAAGAGUGAUUUAGCAUCAGAUUUCCUGAUAGAAGAAGCUUCACCGUUUGGUUUUCAUUUCUUCAAAGAACGAGAGGGAAGUGGCUGAUGAAGGAAUGAGACUUAUGGAGAAGAAUCUAGUUCCCAGACAACAUCAUUGGCACACCUUUGAAUCCAGUUCUCAUUUCACUCUACAAACCAAAGGAAGUAAAAAUGAACAUAGACAAGUGAGAAUGCAAUUAUGACAAAACAUGGCCACUGUUUUGAAGGUAUUUUAAGUCAUUGAGAGAGGUUUAAUACAUUCUUUAUAGCCCCAAGAACAUGUCUUCAUGUUUAGUCUUUUAUUAAACAGAAAACAUUAACUGAGGAAAAUAUUUCAAAUGAGAUAUGCUUCCAGAAAACAGCUGAAAGCAAUAUUGCCAACAUUUUGACAGGCUUACUUGGGUUAAAGCAGUCACUAUGUACUUCUAUUAUCUUUGAAAAUGUUAAAGGAAUGCCAACUUUGUGUUUGCAUCUCUUCAAUUUAUAAACCCAAAUGAAUUUUAGUUCAAAUGAUACUGGUUUGGAAUGAAAUGUUUUAUACCAGUUUUGGAAUAAAUCCUCAGGUACAUU